UCUCCGUUGGUGAACCAGCGGAGGGAUCAUUACCGAGUUUACAACUCCCAAACCCAAUGUGAACGUUACCAAACUGUUGCCUCGGCGGGAUCUCUGUCCCGGGUGCGUCGCAGCCCCGGACCAAGGCGCCCGUCGGAGGACCAACCAAAACUCUUUAUGUAUACCCCCUCGCGGGUUUUUUUACAAUCUGAGCCAUCUCGGCGCCCCUCGUGGGCGUUUCGAAAAUGAAUCAAAACUUUCAACAACGGAUCUCUUGGUUCUG
rnacentral:misc_RNA from 1 species